UUGGGAUUGAAUAUCUGAAGGAUCAACCAGGCCUUCUAACACAACAAGAUCAUCAAGGAGUGUUAGCUUCUCGUCUUCAAGGGCCUUGAUCUCAUCAUCGGUUUCUCUCAAUUCUUUAUUAAGACCAAAACUUUCUUCUUCCAGCAAUAGAUACUUUCUCCUUAAUGCCCGAUAUUCUUUUCCAGAAGUGGAAGUAUCUGGCGAGAAUUCAGGUGUUGAUUUCUCAGCAUAUUGGAAUAAUGGGGAAACUUCGUUUGGUGGGACUCUCUUGGUGUGUUUUAACCCAUUUUGAAUUGGCAUUGCAUGCACAUCUUGUAUCCUUUUUGCCUUAUUCCCUUCUUUUUGCAAUACUGUAGCCUUCGGUUGUGAUGUUUUCUUUUUCCGCAUUUUAGGAGCUGAAGCUUCCUCAAGUCCUCUCUGGUCUUGCAUAUCUCUAAAAUUGAUCUCCUUUUCUUGCCCCAAAAUUUACCGGCAAAAUUGAACGGCUGUCAAUUUGGCGGCUGAAUUCUCUGUGCAAAUCGGCGGAGGCAACUUCUCUGAGCUUUACAGCAAAGAAGAACGGGCUUUUUGCUGUCCUCCAAAUUCCGAUUAUGGACGAGCUACCACCAGGGUUAAUCCGGUGUUUAGGGUUCGAAUUUUGCUAUAAAUUUAUUUUUGUUAUAAUCCAAAUUAUAAAUGGCAUCAAUCAAAUUAACAGAACUUUAAUAUGGACGUCGAUUAGGAAAUCAA
rnacentral:misc_RNA from 1 species